rnacentral:tRNA from 1 species
GUCCUAGUAGCGCAAUGGAUAGCCCAUUGGACUUCUAAUCCAAAGGUCAUGGGUUCAAAUCCCACCUGAGAUU